AGAGUUUGAUCCUGGCUCAGGAUGAACGCUAGCGGCAGGCCUAAUACAUGCAAGUCGAACGGGAUUCGGGUAGCAAUAUCUGAUGAGAGUGGCGCACGGGUGCGUAACACGUAUGAAAUCUGCCCCUAACUGGAGCAUAGCCCGGCGAAAGUCGGAUUAAUACUCCAUAACACUGCGAAACGGCAUCGUUUUGCAAUUAAAGUACCAACGGUUAGGGAUGAUCAUGCGCAACAUUAGCUAGAUGGCGGGGUAACGGCCCACCAUGGCUACGAUGUUUAGGGGGUCUGAGAGGAUUUUCCCCCACACUGGUACUGAGACACGGACCAGACUCCUACGGGAGGCAGCAGUAGGGAAUAUUGGGCAAUGGGCGAAAGCCUGACCCAGCCAUGCCGCGUGCAGGAUGACGGCCCUAUGGGUUGUAAACUGCUUUUGUACGGGAAGAAACCCAUCUACGUGUAGGUGGCUGACGGUACCGUAAGAAUAAGGAUCGGCUAACUCCGUGCCAGCAGCCGCGGUAAUACGGAGGAUCCAAGCGUUGUCCGGAUUUAUUGGGUUUAAAGGGUGCGUAGGCGGAUUUCUAAGUCAGAGGUGA
rnacentral:rRNA from 1 species